rnacentral:tRNA from 5 species
GCCCCGUUCGUCUAGCGGCCCAGGACACCGCCCUCUCACGGCGGCAGCACCGGUUCAAAUCCGGUACGGGGUACCA